UAACCGGCGAUACCCGAAUGGGGAAACCCAGUGUGACUCGUCACACUAUCAUUAACUGAAUCCAUAGGUUAAUGAGGCGAACCGGGGGAACUGAAACAUCUAAGUACCCCGAGGAAAAGAAAUCAACCGAGAUUCCCCCAGUAGCGGCGAGCGAACGGGGAGGAGCCCAGAGCCUGAAUCAGCAUGUGUGUUAGUGGAAGCGUCUGGAAAGGCGCGCGAUACAGGGUGACAGCCCCGUACACAAAAGCGCAUGUGCUGUGAGCUCGAUGAGUAGGGCGGGACACGUGGUAUCCUGUCUGAAUAUGGGGGGACCAUCCUCCAAGGCUAAAUACUCCUGACUGACCGAUAGUGAACCAGUACCGUGAGGGAAAGGCGAAAAGAACCCCGGCGAGGGGAGUGAAAAAGAACCUGAAACCGUGUACGUACAAGCAGUGGGAGCACAGGUUUACCUGUGUGACUGCGUACCUUUUGUAUAAUGGGUCAGCGACUUAUAUUCUGUAGCAAGGUUAACCGCAUAGGGGAGCCGGAGGGAAACCGAGUCUUAAUUGGGCGUUAAGUUGCAGGGUAUAGACCCGAAACCCGGUGAUCUAGCCAUGGGCAGGUUGAAGGUUGGGUAACACUAACUGGAGGACCGAACCGACUAAUGUUGAAAAAUUAGCGGAUGACCUGUGGCUGGGGGUGAAAGGCCAAUCAAACCGGGAGAUAGCUGGUUCUCCCCGAAAGCUAUUUAG
rnacentral:rRNA from 1 species